GAUUCCACACAGGAAGGUCACACUAUUCCUCACCAUUACAAGGGUGAAGAUCUGAUGGAUAUGAAAGUUGAAGUUAAAGCAGAAAUAGAGACGUAUGUGAGGGAUGAUCAGCAAUCUAUGGAGGAGGAUGGAAUAAUGCGGAAAAUUAAAGAGGAGGACACUCUUACAGAGAUCAGCACAGUAGAUGGACGGGAGAUGAGGAAAACCUCAGAGGAUU